AGUAGGAACCCGGAUGGGAGAGCGGGUCUCGGGUUGCAGCCCAAGCAUACAUAGUGUGCGAGGCCGCGCUGGCCCCGGAAACAAGAUGAGUCCAGUCCAGCGGACUUUGUGAGACACACCUGGCCCACCUGUGGACCUGGCCGGCCAGAGGCAGACCCUACCCCAAGACCCAGCUCCGCCCUCCUCCCCGCCCCUCCCCUCUGAGCUGGCGUCCACUCCAGUUCUGGGACACAUUUCCAACUUAGCUCAGAAGAAAGAAAGAAAGAAAACCACAAGCAACCCCCGGGUGAGCAGCCCUCCCGACGACCCUCUGAUAUUCGAGGACUGAGCAGUGGAGCCAAGUGCAAUUGUGGACCAGAGAUUUAAAGCCAUUUUAAUUAGAAGGAAAGAAUGUCCUUGUGGCUGGCUGUUCUAAAAAUACAGCUGUGCCCACAUCUGGAGGCAAGGGUCGGGGUGGGGUUGUGGGGCGGUGGGGAUGGCAGUCUGUAGCGCUGACACCCGCAUUCCUUGCUGGGGGAGGCCCCCUCCCAGCAGGGCUUGUGGAGCGGGGGAGGGGGAGAACACCAAAGCAGCCAGUCCCCUGUGGCCAGGCCACCUGGGCAGGUCUGGGACGGAGCUGAACAGGGAGCCCACCCCUUCCUGGGCCCAUCCGCCCCCAGUGCCUUCCCCACACCCCAGCCUGUUUCCCCGGGGGCCUGGUUAACUGGGGCUCCUCUCUCACCAGCCCCUGCUUGACCUGGGCGCGGCUUCUGACCAGGGAGGGGAUUUUGUCUGGCUGUGAUAUGAAGUGCUAUUUAUUACCUUUAA